rnacentral:misc_RNA from 1 species
UUUCCGUAGGUGAACCUGCGGAAGGAUCAUUACAGAAAAUAACGGAUGGAGGGGCUCGCAAGGGCCUCGCCUCCAUUAUAUCCUUCUACCCCUUUGUGAACUACCGCGUGAGCUAGUAAAGGGCCUCCGGGCUUUUGAAAGCUUGCGAUUAUACCGUACACACUUAAUAAAGUCUCAGAAUGUCCCCUGCGUUAACCGCAAUAAAUACAACUUUCAGCAACGGAUCUCUUGGCUCUC